GUGAAUCAUCAAAUCUUUGAACGCAAAUUGCGCCUUUUUCGGAAGGCAUGCCUGUUUGAGGGCACCAUUUAACAAAUAAUGUGCACCGUUUUGUGUGUGCACACGUUGAUGAGCUUUCCAGGAAAAAUUUUUUUUUUUUUUUUUUUUUUUGGGGGCGCAUAAUAAACAGCGCGAAAGUUUUUUUUUUAGUUCGGGGUUAG
rnacentral:misc_RNA from 1 species